AGAACAUCUGUAAAAACAGGUGUAAAUUGUGAUUUAAACCCCUAGUAUCAGGGGAAUGGAAAGAAGGAAUGCUACAGUAUUCCAAAUAAUAUGCAACGACAAAGAAGCUAGGCCUAAUGCCGAGAAGUGUGGGGUAUAUGAGAUACCAUUAAUCACUCCCAUGACCGAUGCGGUAACCUAUUACAUCAGAAUAACCCGAUGGCGCCUGAAGGAACGUAUACAGCAACACAAGUACGACGUAUGUAACAACAAAGAAAAUACUGCUCUAGCACAAGUGGCCUAUUCAAAGGACUGGUCGGUGGUGUGGGACAGCGCAAGAAUCGU
rnacentral:lncRNA from 1 species